UACGUAGGGGGCAAGCGUUGUCCGGAAUCAUUGGGCGUAAAGCGCGUGUAGGCGGCCCGAUAAGUCCGCUGUGAAAGUCCAGGGCUCAACCCUGGAAUGCCGGUGGAUACUGUCGGGCUCGAGUCCGGAAGAGGCGAGUGGAAUUCCUGGUGUAGCGGUGAAAGUGCGCAGAUAUCAGGAGGAACACCAAUGGCGAAGGCAGCUCGCUGGGACGUGACUGACGCUGAGACGCGAAAGCGUGGGGAGCAAACAGG
rnacentral:rRNA from 1 species